AAUACGAAGGGGGCUAGCGUUGUUCGGAAUUACUGGGCGUAAAGCGUAUGCAGGCGGAUCGUUAAGUCGGGGGUGAAAUCCCGAGGCUCAACCUCGGAACUGCCUUCGAUACUGGCGAUCUUCGAGUCCGGGAGAGGUGAGUGGAACUCCGAGUGUAGAGGUGAAAUUCGUAGAUAUUCGGAAGAACACCAGUGGCGAAGGCGGCUCACUGGCCCGGUACUGACGCUGAGAUACGAAAGCGUGGGGAGCAAACAG
rnacentral:rRNA from 1 species